rnacentral:rRNA from 1 species
UCGAGCUUCUACGGAAGCGAAGUUGGUGACGUCAAGCUUCCAAGAAAAGCCCUAUACCCGUUAAGGCAUGAUUACCUGUACCCGAAACCGACACAGGUGGGGUGGUAGAGAAUACCGAGGGGCGCGAGGUAACUCUCUCUAAGGAACUCGGCAAAAUGACCCCGUAACUUCGGGUGAAGGGGUGCCAGCGCGAGCUGGUCGCAGUGAAUAGGCCCAGGCGACUGUUUACCAAAAACACAGGUCUCCGCUAAGUCGCAAGACGAUGUAUGGGGGCUGACGCCUGCCCAGUGCCGGAAGGUUAAAGAAGUUGGUCAGCGCAAGCGAAGCUAACGACUGAAGCCCCGGUGAACGGCGGCCGUAACAAUAACGGUCCUAAGGUAGCGAAAUUCCUUGUCGGGUAAGUUCCGACCCGCACGAAAGGCGUAACGAUCUGGGCGCUGUCUCGGAGAGAGGCUCGGCGAGAUAGAAUUGUCUGUGAAGAUGCGGACUACGUGCACCCGGACAGAAAGACCCUAUGAAGCUUUACUGUAGCUUGGUAUUGUGCUCGGGCUCGCAAUGCGCAGGAUAGGUGGGAGGCUUUGAUCCAUUGCUUGUGGGUGAUGGUGAGCCACUGGUGAGAUACCACUCUUUGCGAGCUAGGGUUCUAACGGUUACCCGUCAUCCGGGAACCGGACAGUAUCUGGUGGGCAGUUUGACUGGGGCGGUCGCCUCCUAAAAGGUAACGGAGGCGCGCAAAGGUUUGCUCAGGCUGGUUGGAAAUCAGCCGACGAGUGUAAAAGCAGAAGCAAGCUUGACUGUGAGACCUACAAGUCGAACAGGGAGGAAACUCGGCUUUAGUGAUCCGACGGUUCUGAGUGGAAGGGCCGUCGCUCAACGGAUAAAAGUUACUCUAAGGAUAACAGGCUGAUCUCCUCCAAGAGUUCACAUCGACGGGGAGGUUUGGCACCUCGAUGUCGGCUCAUCGCAACCUGGGGCUGAAGUCGGUCCCAAGGGUUGGGCUGUUCGCCCAUUAAAGCGGUACGCGAGCUGGGUUCAGAACGUCGUGAGACAGUUCGGUCCAUAUCCGGUGCAUGCGCAGGAAUAUUGAGAGGAUUUCUCCCUAGUACGAGAGGACCGGGAGGAACGCACCUCUGGUGUACCAGUUAUCGUGCCAACGGUAAACGCUGGGUAGCCAUGUGCGGAGUGGAUAACCGCUGAAAGCAUCUAAGUGGGAAGCCCACCUCAAGAUGAGUAUUCCCAUGGCUUAAGCCAGUAAGGUCACGGGAAGAACACCCGUUGAUAGGCUCUAUGUGGAAGCGCAGUAAUGC